AAUAUCAAAGGUGAGCCAGUACAGGAUGGACCCGCGUCUGAUUAGCUAGUUGGUAAGGUAACGGCUUACCAAGGCGACGAUCAGUAGCCGACCUGAGAGGGUGAUCGGCCACAUUGGAACUGAGACACGGUCCAAACUCCUACGGGAGGCAGCAGUGGGGAAUAUUGCACAAUGGGCGAAAGCCUGAUGCAGCAACGCCGCGUGAGUGAUGAAGGCCUUCGGGUCGUAAAACUCUGUCCUCAAGGAAGAUAAUGACGGUACUUGAGGAGGAAGCCCCGGCUAACUACGUGCCAGCAGCCGCGGUAAUACGUAGGGGGCUAGCGUUAUCCGGAUUUACUGGGCGUAAAGGGUGCGUAGGCGGUCUUUCAAGUCAGGAGUGAAAGGCUACGGCUCAACCGUAGUAAGCUCUUGAAACUGGGAGACUUGAGUGCAGGAGAGGAGAGUGGAAUUCCUAGUGUAGCGGUGAAAUGCGUAGAUAUUAGGAGGAACACCAGUUGCGAAGGCGGCUCUCUGGACUGUAACUGACGCUGAGGCACGAAAGCGUGGGGAGCAAACAGGAUUAGAUACCCUGGUAGUCCACGCUGUAAACGAUGAGUACUAGGUGUCGGGGGUUACCCCC
rnacentral:rRNA from 1 species